GACGAACGCUGGCGGCGUGCUUAACACAUGCAAGUCGAACGGUGAAGCGCCUUCCUUUUUGGUGGGUGUGGAUGAGUGGCGAACGGGUGAGUAACACGUGAGUAACCUGCCCCCUUCUUCUGGAUAACCGCAUGAAAGUGUGGCUAAUACGGGAUAUUCUGGGCCUGUCGCAUGAUGGGUCUGGGAAAGAUAUUGUUUCGGUGGGGGAUGGGCUCGCGGCCUAUCAGCUUGUUGGUGGGGUGAUGGCCUACCAAGGCGGUGACUGGUAGCCGGCCUGAGAGGGUGGACGGUCACACUGGGACUGAGACACGGCCCAGACUCCUACGGGAGGCAGCAGUGGGGAAUAUUGCACAAUGGGCGCAAGCCUGAUGCAGCGACGCCGCGUGAGGGAUGGAGGCCUUCGGGUUGUGAACCUCUUUCGCCAGUGAAGCAGGCCUGCCUCGUUUGUGGGUGGGUUGACGGUAGCUGGAUAAGAAGCGCCGGCUAACUACGUG
rnacentral:rRNA from 1 species